AGCUUUGCAUAGUGGCAGUGUCGUACCCAAUGAGGUUUAUCUGAGGCGCGAUUAUUGCUAAUUGAAAACUUUUCCCAAUACUCCACCAUGACGACUUGAAAUAUGGUUGGCAUUGGCAAUUUUUAAUUCUCCCUAUGGGGA
rnacentral:snRNA from 1 species